AGUGAACGCUGGCGGCAGGCCUAACACAUGCAAGUCGAACGGCAGCACAGGAGAGCUUGCUCUCUGGGUGGCGAGUGGCGGACGGGUGAGGAAUACAUCGGAAUCUGCCUAUUUGUGGGGGAUAGCCUCGGGAAACCGGGACUAAUACCGCAUACGACCUACGGGUGAAAGCAGGGGACCUUCGGGCCUUGCGCAGAUAGAUGAGCCGAUGUCGGAUUAGUUAGUUGGAGGGGUAAUGGCCCACCAAGGCGACGAUCCGUAGCUGGUCUGAGAGGAUGAUCAGCCACACUGGGACUGGGACACGGCCCAGACUCCUACGGGAGGCAGCAGUGGGGAAUAUUGGACAAUGGGCGAAAGCCUGAUCCAGCCAUGCCGCGUGAGUGAAGAAGGCCCUCGGGUUGUAAAGCUCUUUUGUUGGGAAAGAAAAGCAAUCGGUUAAUACCCGGUUGUUCUGACGGUACCCAAAGAAUAAGCACCGGCUAACUUCGUGCCAGCCGCCGCGGUAAGAC
rnacentral:rRNA from 1 species